GGAGAGAUGGCCGAGUGGUCGAAGACGCAACAUUGGAAAUGUUGUGUAGGGGUAACUCUACCGUGGGUUCGAAUCCCACUCUCUCCGCCA
rnacentral:tRNA from 1 species